rnacentral:rRNA from 1 species
CCUACGGGAGGCAGCAGUGAGGAAUAUUGGUCAAUGGACGAGAGUCUGAACCAGCCAAGUAGCGUGAAGGAUGACUGCCCUAUGGGUUGUAAACUUCUUUUAUAUGGGAAUAAAAUGUUCCACGUGUGGGAUUUUGUAUGUACCAUAUGAAUAAGGAUCGGCUAACUCCGUGCCAGCAGCCGCGGUAAUACGGAGGAUCCGAGCGUUAUCCGGAUUUAUUGGGUUUAAAGGGAGCGUAGGUGGAUUGUUAAGUCAGUUGUGAAAGUUUGCGGCUCAACCGUAAAAUUGCAGUUGAAACUGGCAGUCUUGAGUACAGUAGAGGUGGGCGGAAUUCGUGGUGUAGCGGUGAAAUGCUUAGAUAUCACGAAGAACUCCGAUUGCGAAGGCAGCUCACUGGACUGCAACUGACACUGAGGUUCGAAAGCGUGGGUAGCAAACAGGAUUAGAUACCCUAGUAGUC